rnacentral:rRNA from 1 species
UACAGGGGGUGCAAACGUUGCUCGGAAUCAUUGGGCGUAAAGCGCACGUAGGCGGUUCGUUAUGUCGGACGUGAAAUCCCUCGGCUUAACCGGGGAACUGCGUCUGAUACUGGAUGGCUUGAGAUUGGGAGAGGGAUGCGGAAUUCCUGGUGUAGCGGUGAAAUGCGCAGAUAUCAGGAGGAACACCGAUGGCGAAGGCAGGUCUCUGGGCAUUAACUGACGCUGAGGAGCGAAAGCAUGGGGAGCGAACAGG